UACGUAGGGCGCAAGCGUUUAUCCGGAAUUAUUGGGCGUAAAGAGCUCGUAGGCGGUUUGUCGCGUCUGCCGUGAAAGUCCGGGGCUCAACUCCGGAUCUGCGGUGGGUACGGGCAGACUAGAGUGAUGUAGGGGAGACUGGAAUUCCUGGUGUAGCGGUGAAAUGCGCAGAUAUCAGGAGGAACACCGAUGGCGAAGGCAGGUCUCCUGGGCAUUAACUGACGCUGAGGAGCGAAAGCAUGGGGGAGCGAACAGG
rnacentral:rRNA from 1 species